rnacentral:rRNA from 1 species
ACGCGAAAAACCUUACCUACCCUUGACAUGUACGGAACUUGCNANAGAUGGCUUGGUGCUCGAAAGAGAGCCGUAACACAGGUGCUGCAUGGCUGUCGUCAGCUCGUGUCGUGAGAUGUUGGGUUAAGUCCCGCAACGAGCGCAACCCUUGUCAUUAGUUGCUACAUUUAGUUGGGCACUCUAAUGAGACUGCCGGUGACAAACCGGAGGAAGGUGGGGAUGACGUCAAGUCCUCAUGGCCCUUAUGGGUAGGGCUACACACGUCAUACAAUGGCUGGUACAAAGGGUUGCCAACCCGCGAGGGGGAGCUAAUCCCAUAAAGCCAGUCGUAGUCCGGAUCGUAGUCUGCAACUCGACUGCGUGAAGUCGGAAUCGCUAGUAAUUGUGGAUCAGAGUGUCACGGUGAAUACGUUCCCGGGUCUUGUACACACCGCCCGUCACACCAUGGGAGCGGGUCUCGCCAGAAGUAGUUAGCCUAACCGCAAGGGGG